rnacentral:lncRNA from 1 species
AAAGGGUUGAUGUUGACAAGAUUGUUUGGUGGGGUGAGAAUAGAGGAGAAUACUCUGUCCGGAGAGGCUAUAGAACUCUAAUCAGCAACCAGAUGACAGUGGACGACAUACGUGGGAGCAGAGAAAUUAACAAAAAACUCUGGCAAUUACAGAUUCCUCCUAAAAUAAAAAUUGCAAACAGGCAAAUACUACAUAAUUACAUCCCUAAAGCCUAUAUUCUAUACAAAAAAAGGAUUGCGGCCUCCUCGACAUGUCCCAGAUAUGGCGGUGAGCCUGAAACAUCGAUGCAUGUCAUGACAAGGUGUGGCCCUGCAAAAGAGGCAUGAGAUUUAAUUAGUAUUGGUUGGCCUUCGAGUCUUAAUACUGAUUAUAUAUGGGCCUGGUUUGACUUUGUUUUAAAGCAUGGAAGUAAUUAUACCUGCAAAGUUGUAGCGAUCACAGUUUGGGCAAUUUGGCAUGCUCGAAACAAGCAGGUCAUGCAAGGCAAGCAACAAACAGCUCAGGAUAUUACUAUCAGAGUGGCUAGUCUAGUACGGGAGUUUGAUGAGAUAAACCGGAAAUUACUUGACCAGAGAGAGACCAUGAAAACUCACUAGAAACCUCCACAGGACCCAAACGUAAAAGCGAACUUUGAUGCAGCGUUCAAACCGCAAAUACACCAAUUGUGCUCUAGGUUCGUUAUCAGGAAUGAGAUAGGGUUAAUAGUGGGCAGUGGUGCAGUUAAGAAUGAUUAUAUCUCAAACUCUUUUUCUCCUGGAGCUAUAGCAUGUAUCCAAGCUCUAAAGUUUGCGGAAGAGAUGGGAUUUAGACAGCUUGGAGUGGAGGGCGAUUCCCAAAUUAUAAUCGUGAAAAUCAACCAAGGCGUAGUAGACAGAUCUAAUAUGGUUGUCUAUAUUGAGGAGAUUAAAGCUAUGGCAACAUGCUUUCAAAGGAUUUCCUUCAAGCAUGCAGACAAAAAUGCUAAUGGUGUAGCUCAUAUAAUCGCCCAGUAGAGAUUUAAUUUGACUGAAAAUACGUUUUGGGUUGAGGAGGUACCUCUAGAGGCAGUCGAAGCGGUGAAUCAAGAUAAUCAAAUUCCGACUCCUUCAAAUUGAAGCAAGAUGAUCUCUUCCCAGCUAAUGCAUGGCUGUUAUGCGAUCCGAAAAUGGGUUAUGAAGCUUCGAGAUUUCUUUCUGGUUUUGUGUUUUUUACUGUUUCGACCCUUCAGCUCACCCGGGCUACCCAGAUAUUUAUUUUGUUUAUGGUAUUUAUUAAAUGUUAUGUUUUGGUUUUGUUUAUUAAUAAAUAAUAUCUUGGUAUUUUCUUUCAAAAAAAAAAGAAAAAAAACUAUUUACUAUAAUUUAAAAAAAAUCAAUUCUAAGGCAAAUUCCUUAUAAGAAAUAUAGUGAUAAUUUUGGAAUAAAAAAAUCCAUAUAUUUUGUUAAUAUUUCCAACAUUCUCAUUGUAUAAUAAAAAGUAUUGUAUUGUAUUGUAUUAUAUUUAGUAUAAAAA